rnacentral:rRNA from 1 species
CUGAAUACUACCUGAUGACCGAUAGCGGAUAAGUACCGUGAGGGAAUGGUGAAAAGUACCCCGGGAGGGGAGUGAAAUAGUACCUGAAACCAUGUGCUUACAAACCGUCGGAGCCUUGAGGGGUGACGGCGUGCCUUUUGAAGAAUGAGCCUGCGAGUUAGUGCUGUGUCGCGAGGUUAACCCGUGUGGGGUAGCCGUAGCGAAAGCGAGUCCGAAUAGGGCGAUUCCAGUCGCCGGGUCUAGACCCGAA